UACGUAGGUGGCAAGCGUUGUCCGGAUUUACUGGGCGUAAAGAGCGCGCAGGCGGUCGAUUUAGUCGCGUGUGAAAGCCCCCGGCUCAACUGGGGAGGGUCACGCGAUACUGAUCGACUCGAAGGCAGGAGAGGGUAGUGGAAUUCCCGGUGUAGUGGUGAAAUGCGUAGAUAUCGAGAGGAACACCAGUGGCGAAGGCGAGUCCCUGGACGACUCCUGACACUGAGGCACGAAAGCUAGGGGAGCAAACAGG
rnacentral:rRNA from 1 species